AAAAAGUUUUAUUUUAGCUUAGAAAUUAAUUAUUUAAUUUUUAUAUAUGUAAAUUUUUGUUUUAAUAAGUAAAAUGCAGUGUAAAGUUUUAAAUUUUAAAUAAUUUUAGAUUUAGAAAUUUAUUUUAGUAUAAACAAAAUUUGUGCCAGCAGUUGCGGUUAUACAAAUUAUGCAAGUUAAUUUUAUUGAAUUUAAUUAAAUUGAAAGUUUAAUUUAUAUGUUAAUUUUUUAGGUGAAAUUUAAAAUUAUUAAAAAUUAAAUUGAAAGAAUUGAAGUUAAGAAAUUUUUGUUAUAAACUAGGAUUAGAUACCCUAUUAUUAAAAACGUAAAUUUUAAAAUUUAAAUUAUUAUGAGUUAAGAUCUUUAAAAUUAAAAAUUUUGGCGGUAUUUUAGUCUUUUCAGAGGAACCUGUUUUUUAAUUGAUAAUCCACGAUUAAAUUUACUUUAUUUUUUAAUUUAUAUAUCGUUGUAGUUUGAAAAUUUUAGAAGAAUUAAAAUUUUCAAGAUUUAAAAUUAAAGAAGAAUUCAAAUCAAGGUAUAGUUUAUAAUAAAGAUAAAAUGGGUUACAUUAUAUUUAUAUUUGGUUAUAAAGUUUAAAAUUUUAUAUAAAUUGGAUUUGAAAGUAAUUUGGUUAAUUUAAACUGAAUGAUUUUGCUCUAAAAUAUGUACAUAUUGCCCGUCGCUUUCAUUUUUUAAUGAAAUAAGUCGUAACAAAGUAGACUUAUUGGAAAAUGAGUCUAGAAAGUC
rnacentral:ncRNA from 1 species